ensembl:lncRNA
CAGAUGUCUCCAAGCACAUAGGGCUUACAGUCUAGGGGUCAGUUUGGGACUGGGCCGUCAUUGUAUUUCACUGAAGGUCUCCAUAUGACAGGAUUUAGCACCCUCCAGGGGUAGUCUCAAGAAUCUAACCAGGUUAGUCCCUGAGAUCCAGAAAAUCGGUAUUGUCCCAUUGGUGAGUUUGACUUUUCUUUGACAAGGGAGCUUUCACCUUAUUUUAUUGUUUUACUGUUUUACUUUACUGUGUGUUGCAUUUUUAAAUGCACUUUAAAUAAAGUUCGAUUUGAUCUACCUAGCUCCAGCUGUCUGGUAUCAUAGUUGAUGAAACAUGGAAUAUUCAAAUACAAUUUUGGCUGAUCUCUGUCAUAGGCUUGCUGCUUCCCUCUCCAAAACCCGGUACUUACUCUGAUCUGCAGCAGGGCCCAUUUAGUCCUGGGCUAAGGUUGGUGUUAUGCACUUUAGAGUGUGAAAGUAUUCAAUGUUUCUUAGCUUUGCUGCAGUCUAAAAGAGGUCAUUUUCCAAACCAACAUUUUGCAGUGUGAAAAGCCCUGGCUUAUAGAGUGUCUCUUCCACUAACCUACAUUUUGGCUGAAUAGGAUCAUUCAUUGUACGAUGAUCCACCUACAUUUUAUAUGAGACAGAUUUGACAUGUUCUGCAUACUGCAGGUCUAUGGGAUGUUCAAAAGUAGGCCACUUACUGAGGGAAAGCUAGAUUCAAUCCGAUCACCACUUUCCGGUGGUCAUGGCUAGAAGGGUUGCAGCUAAUGUCAAAGUGAUGUCAAAAGUAGCAUGUUUGAGUCACUUUGGGGAGAAUUUUACAAUUUUAGUUAACCCUAAUUAUUUCCCUAACCUUAACUUAAUUGUCCUAAUUUGCAACGUUAAUUAUCCUAACCUGGCGUGUAAAUUCUCCUAACCUGCUACGAAAAGUCGGUUUGGAUGGCAACUGCUUGGCAUUGGACCACAACGAGGAGCUACAGAACCUACAGAGGGAACAUCCCUGGGGCCGAGCUCCCUACCAUCCAGGAUCGGUAGCCUGACGGGUAGAUGCGUUGGCCCAGUAACCGAAUGGUUGGUGGAUUGAAUCCCCGAGCUGACAAGGAAAAAAUCUGUGGUGUUCUGUCCCUGAACAAGGCAGUUAACCCAUUGUUCCCCGGGCGCUGAUGACGUAGCUGUCGAUUAUGUCAGCACCCGCACCUCACUGAUUCACAGGUGUUGGGUUAAAUGUAGAAGACACAUUACAGUUGAAUGCAUUCAGUUGUACAACUGACUAGGUAUCCCCCUUUCCCUCUAUACCAGGCAGUGUCAGAGGAAGGCCCUACAAAUAGUCAAAUACUCCAGCCACCCAAGUCAUAGACUGUUCUCACUUCUGGCUGCAAUGCUACCUCACGACAAGCGGUACCGAUGCACCAAGUCUGGAACCAACAGGCCCCUGAACAGCUUCUACCCCCAAGCCAUAAGACUGAUAAAUAGUUGAUCAUAUACCUACCUGGACUAUCUGCAUUGACACUUUUCGCACUCACUUUUUUUUUACUCAUCACGCACUGUAUGCUGCUGCUGCUGUCACUUUAUUCAUAGUUCUCCCUAUAUAGCCUACAUCUCUGCCUCAAUUACCCCUGCACAUGGUACUGGUAUUCCUUGAUUUUAGCAAGUUAUCGUUGCUCAUUGUGCCUGCUUUUAUUAUGACCUGUUUUACUUUUCUAUUAUGUCUAUAUUGUCUUUCUCUCUGCAUAGUUGAGAUGUAAGUAAGCAUUUCACUGUUAGUCCA